GACACCAGCGCACUGCGAGGCCACCUCCGUGCCAGCAGCCCGAGGGAAGUCAGGGACGGGGCUUGCGGGGACCACGAGGGAGCCCGCGAGGAGGCGAGCCAGCGAGGGGGGCCCGCGUGAGACCAGGCCCACCAGAAGCACCCGAGUCCGAGCGUGCGCGCUGCGCUUUACCGAGCGCCUCGGGGGCCGCCUGGCGCAGGCAGGUGACGUAGUAGGCGGCGCGCUCCGGGGCCGAGCUGGGGCAAGGACUGGGGCAGAGCGAGGCUUCUCACCCGCCCGCCGCGGAGGCCGAGGCCGAGGUCCCGCCCCUCGCUCCACCGGCUUGGCUCCCAGUCUCCCCCACCAAACGUAGGCCAUGUUCUCAAUGGCCCGCAAAGGUGGCUCUGGAGAGGGUGGAACGGAGGCAAAUUGAAGUUUGGGAGAGGAGUGCCAGCCAAUUCAGUGGUCCCUGCGCAUCCUCCUCCUGCAGACUGCCAAAUACCUGGAAAAUAAAGGAGUGCCCAAUGGAGAAAAACUAGUGCAGAAGCAGGAUGAACCACGCGGUGCCACCCGCACGGAAGGGCUCGGAGAACGCUGCCAGCUUCACACCUGCAGAAAGUACUGUGAGCACGGCUGAGCACGAGCGCCUGCUCCCUUCCAACUUUCGGGAGGAAGAAGUUAGGAAUUCGGGUUGCUGCUAAACCUCAGAUCAAAGGCUGGAACGCUCAAUCCUGAAUUUUGACAGCUUUUGGAUUCUUCCUGAGGCAUCAUGCACGAAAGCUGACAGCCUCCUGACUGGUCGACAAUCAGCAAUGCAGUACACUGGCCACAUUGAGGAGAAGACUACUGAUUGUGAUGAGAGCAAAAGAGGACCUACCCAGUCUUCCAAACCUGCAUCUUUAUCUGUGGCAACCAUUUCCCACGUAUUUACUUAUAUGAAAUGCACAGAGUGUAGAACUUCAUACUAAUAUUGAGUAAUUGCUACAGGAGACAAAUUACCAAUCUUCAUGUGGAAAGGAAAGAACCCAAUGUGGUGCAAGCACUCACUAAAUGCUUUCAACAGUCACAUUAUAGCAAACAGAAGCAACAGACGCUGAAAAUAAGGCUCCUAAUAGACUAAUCAGAUUCUCUAGUCCUCUCUCCAGAAGCUGGACAGGCCACUUUGCACGGAGUAAGGCCCCAGGACGGCUGGACAAUUCAAGGAGAGGACAAAGCCUUAAGAAAGAAGACAGGCAAUGGACUUCCUCUGGCACUAAUCUGGCUCAUAGAUGUUUGGACCUAAUGUAAUUU